rnacentral:rRNA from 1 species
UAUUAACGCUGGCGGUGUGCAUAACACAUGCAAGUCGAGCGAGGCUUCGAGCCGAGCGGCAAACGGGUGAGUAACACGUUGGAACCUGCCCAAAAGUGGAACAUAAUCAGCCGAAAGGUUGACUAAUUUUCCAUAGUCCCGAAAGGGUAAAGCAGCAAUGCGCUUUUGGAGGGUCCUGCGGCCUAUCAGCUAGUUGGUAAGGUAACGGCUUACCAAGGCUAUGACGGGUAGCUGGAUUGAGAGAUCGAUCAGCCACAAGGGAACUGAGACACGGUCCCUACUCCUACGGGAGGCAGCAGUGAGGAAUCUUCGGCAAUGGGCGAAAGCCUGACCGAGCAACACCGCGUGAAGGAUGAAGGCCUUCGGUUGUAAACUUCUUUUCUGGGGAAGAAUUCUGACGGUACCCUAGGAAUAAGCACCGGCUAACUCUGUGCCAGCAGCCGCGGUAAGACAGAGGGUGCGAGCGUUAUCCGGAAUCACUGGGCGUAAAGGGUGUGUAGGCGGUUAAGAAAGUUAC